GCCUUCCUUUUUCCACAUUUCAUCAGUAAUAGAUCUACAUGCAAUCCAUAAGAAACAAACUCAUGAUGGAUGUUGCUCUCCUGUUCCUUGAAACACAGCUUUUAGUGCCACUGAACAGGCCACUCUCCAGGGACAUUAAACAAUACCAAAUGCCCACACAUGUCACACCUUCGAUCUUCGACCUCAAAAGGGGAAAAAAUGGACAACAAAAUGGUUCCUUUGGCCAUUGAAGAAAAGUCAAUUAUAUAUUUGGCUUCACAAAUAAAUUGUAAACUAGAGUUCUGGUGUAAAACAGGUUUGACUGUUCAUCAGUUGAGUGUGCAGGCUAAUUUCCUAUCAGACUGCUUCAGUAGGAGACUCAGACUAAGUGUGUGAAGCUGCUCUGAGAGGCUUUAGUCUGGAAUAACACCAGGUAGCUGAUAGCCUAUUACAGUAUAAUCACUGCAGGUUUUGACUAAUUUGCAAUCUGUGCCUGCCUGUGAGCGACUCAAGUGUAUCAAUUAAAGAUUCAUCGAAGGCUGUACACACACAACUAGUGAUCUGGAUUAAAUAUUCAUUGGGAAGAUGUUGGUCAGGAUCCUAUGGAGCAAUAACACUUGACUUUUCCAGCACAUAUCAGGACUGGUGGCAUAAACAUGGCACAUUACACAAGCAGGCUGCAGCAGGGGUGGCUUUAGGACAUGGACAAAGCACCCAAACAUCAGACAUAUUUCAGCAUUUCUUCAUCUGCUGAAAUUGGCUGCUGUGCUUUAAAAAAAAAUUGGCUGUCUCUCAUCUCAGGAAGGGUCUGACUCAUUGCAGAUUUAGCAGCCUCCCCCCUUGAAGAAGGGAAAAGAAAGGACACACGACACUUCCUGAGUAGUAAAGCAUGCAGCAGAGUGAAUUUGAAAAAUGAAUUAGGGCCUGUAGCCAGAGGUUUCCACCACUGCUACAUUCACUAACACCAGGGUUAUUUUUAGCAUCAUGCUGCCUUGUCAGACUGGAGGAUAGAAGAAAAACCCCCCUCAUAUAACAGGGGGAGGCCAGUGGGAAGCUGCAGUAUGUAUGGGGAGAGAAGAGAGGCAGACAUGAUCACCUUAGGCCAUAUUCAGGUUUAACCCACCUGAACUCACCUUUAGGUUGACACCUUCCUCACAUACAGGACAUGUCACGUCACGCUGUGUGGCUACAGGCAUCUCGUCCUGGAAGGUGGGUGAGGAAGACAGGCAUGACGGAGGGUGACAGAGCUGAGAGUCGGCUGAUGCCCUGUACAGGCCACCAGGGAUGCUUGACGUUGGAAUCUGAAGACCUCCUGGAUUUCUAGACCAACCUACAUACAGCGGCAUCCAAGGCUGCUUGCUUGUCCUGUCUUGAAAUCUUUAUAUCUGCAAGCAAACAGCAUGAGACAGGAAACCCAGCAGCUGCCAUCACUGCAGCACUGUACAGAAAAUAACUGGGAAAACUUGAUCCUAUACAACUGCGUGGCCAGUAUAUCAAAAUGGCUGUAUUUUCUCACUGACAGAACAGAAACAUUUAUUUUCUUUCCAUUUUGAUGUUGAUGUCGGUGCUACCAAAAUGCAGCAGAGAGGGAAAUUAAAGCAAAAAAGAAAUCCUAAAACAUCAGAUAUGGUGAUGAUGACGGUGACGAAGGUAGACAUAGCACCUUCUUUGGAGGUGUGAACCAUCUGCAUGGGCAGUGGGUUCUUAAUGUUAAUGUGCUGCCAGAUGGAGACCAUGAUAUGUCAUCAACACCAAUUCCUGGAACUGAGAAAUUGUGGUGCAGCUUAAUUACGUACAAUUUGGAAUAAUGUGACAUUUGAAAAGUUUUCUGCCCUAAAUGAAUGUUUGAUUACUUCUGAACCCCGAUCACUGGAAUUUUAGGGCACUAAUUGCAGCCACACAUUAUUGAGUUGCAUCACUGUAAUAUGUUGAAAUGAAAGUUCAGAUUUGUGAAUGGUAUAUGUUCAAAUGACCUUGUAUCAUAUGUAUAUGCAGGCUUAGAGGCAACCCAAAGCCACCACACUGCUUAGAGAUUCAACCAGUAAUUCACCUCUAAGUUGUAACCCAACUGUAAUCCUUUACCAGUUUUAUUUAUAAUACCCAAGUUAGUCAUCAUUGUGACACUGAAGUGUUUCAUUCCACCACCAUGUGAAGAGUGCAAAAACAAACGACUGGACUAUAUAUCUGUUAAGGAAAAGUAAGUCAUACAAACUGAUAUAUUUGCUCACGCUGCUGCCAGUGAAAGAAAUGCCACUAUACAAUUGUCAGAAAUAAAAUUACCUUUUUAUUAUAUAGUCAUUGCAGGUGGUAUUUUGCGCUCUUAGGUACUAGUUGAGAGUUUAGCAGCACAUUAAUGUGCUCCACUAAUUAUAAUAUAAUAUAAUCAGCACAGUAAUAAUAAUAAGAUGUUAUUGGCCUUGCAGCACGGCAUACAAAUGUCCCAUGUAUUAAUUCAUUGCUAGAAUGAUUGCUAGAAAGUUUAUGCGUGGCAACAGCAUACAAAGUACACAAACAAUUCAAUAUGAAACAGAAGACUUUAUUGUCAUGUAUAAAAUGGUAAAAUAGUAACACCUCCAAUGAAGUUUUUGUUUUGUGUGAAACCUGAAAUACAAUGAAUUAUGAUUAAAUUAUAUAGCAUUGAAUACAGAAAUAGCUAUUUACAAAAUCACUGAAAAUCGUCAUCUGUUAAGAUCAUCCAUUAAGAAAAAUACAACCAAAUUAAUAUAAAAAAGAAUAACCUACAAAAUUUCAGUACACCUUAACUUAUACAUGUUCUUCCAUAAAUAUUAUGGCAAAAGGCUUCAUUGAAUUUGAAAGGUUCUUUGUUAUUUAUAGGGUUGGAUACAUUCAGAUUUUUAAAAACAACAUUCAUAAAAGGGUAGUUUUUGCUGCAAAAAAGUAUUUAUACUGACUUAUCUUCUCACUUUCAAAGCAAAUGUUGUUUUGGAAUACGUCACCCAAUAUGCCAAACUACCUACACAUGAUCAGCAUUGUAACAGUGGUCAUAGUUUGCUGAUUUUCAAACUUUUGUCUUUAUCUUCAUUCUUAUCUGAGUGGCAUGUACAUAAUGUCAGAAUUACUGGAAUGAAAAUGAGGCCGUGAAGCAUCCCAAUAAACAUGACAAGAAAGAAGAUCUUAAAAAAUGUUCUGAAUGUGUGAAAUUCAGACCAAG